CCUACGGGUGGCAGCAGUGAGGAAUAUUGGUCAAUGGCCGGGAGUCUGAACCAGCCAAGUCGCGUGAAGGAUGACUGCCCUAUGGGUUUUAACCUUCUUUUAUAAGGGAAUAACACGAGGCACGUGUGCCUUUUUGCAUGUACUUUAUGAAUAAGGAUCGGCUACCUCCGUGCCAGCAGCCGCGGUAAUACGGAGGAUCCGAGCGUUAUCCGGAUUUAUUGGGUUUAAAGGGAGCGUAGAUGGGUUGUUAAGUCAGUUGUGAAAGUUUUCGGCUAAACCGUAAAAUUGCAAUUGAUACUGGCAGGCUUGAGUACAGUUGAGGUAGGAGGAAUUCGUGGUGUAGCGGUGAAAUGCUUAGAUAUCACGAAGAACACCGAUUGCGAAGGCAGCUUACUAAACUGUGACUGACACUGAUGCUCGAAAGUGUGGGUAUCAAACAGGAUUAGAUACCCGGGUAGUC
rnacentral:rRNA from 1 species